UAGAGUUUGAUCCUGGCUCAGGAUGAACGCUAGCUACAGGCUUAACACAUGCAAGUCGAGGGGCAGCAUGUCGGUUGCUUGCAACCGAUGAUGGCGACCGGCGCACGGGUGAGUAACGCGUAUCCAACCUACCCUUGUCCAUCGGAUAACCCGUCGAAAGGCGGCCUAACACGAUAUGCGGUUCACCGCAGGCAUCUAACGUGAACGAAAUGUGAAGGAGAAGGAUGGGGAUGCGUCUGAUUAGCUUGUUGGCGGGGUAACGGCCCACCAAGGCGACGAUCAGUAGGGGUUCUGAGAGGAAGGUCCCCCACAUUGGAACUGAGACACGGUCCAAACUCCUACGGGAGGCAGCAGUGAGGAAUAUUGGUCAAUGGACGAGAGUCUGAACCAGCCAAGUAGCGUGCAGGAUGACGGCCCUAUGGGUUGUAAACUGCUUUUAUAGGGGGAUAAAGUGUGCCACGUGUGGCAUAUUGCAGGUACCCUAUGAAUAAGGACCGGCUAAUUCCGUGCCAGCAGCCGCGGUAAUACGGAAGGUCCGGGCGUUAUCCGGAUUUAUUGGGUUUAAAGGGAGCGUAGGCCGUUUGGUAAGCGUGUUGUGAAAUGUCGGGGCUCAACCUGGGCAUUGCAGCGCGAACUGCCAGACUUGAGUGCGCAGGAAGUAGGCGGAAUUCGUCGUGUAGCGGUGAAAUGCUUAGAUAUGACGAAGAACUCCGAUUGCGAAGGCAGCUCACUGGAGCGCAACUGACGCUGAAGCUCGAAAGUGCGGGUAUCGAACAGGAUUAGAUACCCUGGUAGUCCGCACGGUAAACGAUGGAUGCCCGCUGUUGGUCUGAAUAGGUCAGCGGCCAAGCGAAAGCAUUAAGCAUCCCACCUGGGGAGUACGCCGGCAAC
rnacentral:rRNA from 1 species